ACGCUGGCGGCGUGCUUAAUACAUGCAAGUCAACUGAACUUAAGAUAGCAAUAUUUUAAGGGAGGUGGCGCACGGGUGAGUAACACGUAGGUAAUCUGCCUUUAGGUCUGACACAACCCCGAGAAAUCGGGGCUAAUAUCAGAUGAUGCAGCGGCUCGACAUCGAGACAGUUGUUAAACCUUCGGGGCCUAAAGAUGAGCCUGCGUCUGAUUAGCUGGUUGGCGGGGUAACGGCCCACCAAGGCAACGAUCAGUAGCUGGUCUGAGAGGAUGAUCAGCCACACUGGAACUGAGACACGGUCCAGACUCCUACGGGAGGCAGCAGUAAGGAAUAUUGCUCAAUGGCCGAAAGGCUGAAGCAGCAACGCCGCGUGGAGGAUGAAAUACUUUUGUAUGUAAACUCCUGUGAGAAGGGAAAAAUAUGCAGAUUUCUGCGUUGAUUGUACCUUCAGAGGAAGCCCCGGCUAACUACGUG
rnacentral:rRNA from 1 species